CUGUUAUUAUAGGAUAUUUUAUUUUAUUUUCUUAAGUUAUCAAAAUAAAAAAAAAUCCCUAAAAUCACUCAACUUUUGCACGCCCCACAAUCUCUCCUUUCACGUUCAUAUCUCUUUUUCUUGUUUACUUCUUUUUCUUUUAAAGUUUUCUUUUUUCGUUUUUUUCUUCUUCUUUCUUUUCUGCUGGUACUCGCUUGCUGCCAUUCCAUUUUUCCCCUUGUAUUCGUGCACGGUGUUGUUAUUUAAUCUUAUUUCUGAACGUGGAGUAAGUUUGUCUGAUUAUUUUUAUUCUUUUGCUUUGAAAUUGUUUAUUGAACAAGUUAGGAAUUGUGGUUAUGUUUGAUCUUCGCUCUUAGUUAUGAUGAACGUUCUUGUGUUUUUGAUUAGGCAAAGGGGUGAGAACCAAAUUCCUCCAACAGAGUAGUUCUCAUAUUUGGCACUGUUUUUGACUAGUAAGUAUACAAAU
rnacentral:lncRNA from 1 species